rnacentral:rRNA from 1 species
GACGAACCGUGCGAACGUUGUUCGGAAUCACUGGGCUUAAAGGGCGCGUAGGCGGGUUCUCCAGUCAGGGGUGAAAUCUUUCGGCCCAACCGGAAAAGUGCCUCUGAUACUGCGGAGCUCGAGGGGGAUAGGGGCGGACGGAACUUCCGGUGGAGCGGUGAAAUGCGUUGAUAUCGGAAGGAACGCCGGUGGCGAAAGCGGUCCGCUGGGUCCCUACUGACGCUGAGGCGCGAAAGCCAGGGGAGCAAACGGG